GUAAGAUGGAGGGACAAUGGGUGGUGGGUGAUGACUUACAGAGACCUGCCAAGGACAGAGAAAAGGUGUAUGUCUAAGGCUACAGCGAUGGCUAAAGGGGCAGGGCUGCCCUCUGCCCUGCCCAAAACCCUCCUUUGUCCCUUUGCUGACGUUCUCAUCUUGUUUCCAUCCCGUCUUCUUUCACUCAUUUUCUCUCGUCACUCUAGCAUUCCCUCUCCUGGGCAUUAUUUUUUCUUAAAAUAUGAUAUGCACCCAGAAAGUGUAGAAAUCUUCCAUAUACAGCUCAAUUAAUUUUCACAGAUUGAACACAUCCAUGUACCCAGCAUCCAGAUCAAGAAACAGAAUAGUACUAGCCUUCCUGUACCCUUUCUAGUCACCACCUCCCAAGGAUAACCACUCUGACUUCUAACACUGUAGAUUAGUAUUGACUAAUUAGUCAUUUUUAACCCCUGCACCUGAGUCCUUCCCAACUCAGGAGCAACAUUAACCCUUUCCUGAAUGUGAGAGGUGAGGAGAAAGCAGUGUGGUCAUGCUAUCUGUCCCCACUUCCCUACCCCACUGACGGCAGGCAAAGGAUGAAGGACCUAGCUGGCCCUCAUCACAGACACCUGUCAAGAGUCCCCACAGCCCCUGCUUGAGUGUUUCAGGGCUAAAAUCCAUAGCUUGACAAUGAGUAACCUCUCUAUAUAAAAGCCUAAUAUGCAGUGUCCCCUCCAGAGCUCAACCUACUGGGAGUCUGAUUGCUCGCUAUGACAUGCACUGACCACCAGGGGGCGGUGGGGAAUGAAGGAAGGCCCCGGCAGGCAGCCUCUAGGGACCCUACCCUGCACAAAUUUCACACACUGGGCCUCUAGUUAAUUUAUAUAAGUGUGUUAGUUAGGGCAAUGUGAGCUGCUAUAACAAACUCUAAAAUUUCAGUAACUCAUCACUACUUAUUAUUUCUCAUUCUAGAACAGUCUUAUGCUGAUGUUCUUGGUCAGCAGGCAGCUCUUCUCCAUGUGAUGAUACAGGUACCCAAACUCCUUCCAUCUUGUGGCUCUCUCUCCCCUCCCCAGGGCCUUGGAGUUUUGAGCAUCCUGCCAACAGACAGGAGCAGAGGACAAAGAGGGCCACCUGCUCUUUAGGUGGCUUUUCCAGGAAAAUGUCACUUCUGCCUACAUUCCAUUGUUGCUUCCAGAUCCCUGAGCUGCCAUAUGAGAAGCCUGACAACUCUGCUGGUGACAACACAAGAGGGGGCCUGAGACUACCUGGAGAAGGCAAGAAGGAAAGCUGAGCCCAGCCCUCCAGCCAUCCCCACCAGAGCCCAGACCUUCCAAUCCACAACCGUUAAUCAGCUGAAAACCACCAGGUGAUUCCAUUUAAUGCUUCAUGGAGCAGAAGAGUCACUUAGACAAGUCCUGCCCAAAUUUCUGAUCCACAAACUUGUGAGAUAUAAUAAAAUGGUUGUUGUUUUGA